CAGGAGCACCGCUGAUUAGCUACGUUCGGGAUGGAUAACCGCUGAAAGCAUCUAAGCGGGAAGCCGGCCUCAAGAUGAGACUUCCAUGCCUUCGGGCGAGAGGCUCCCAGCUAGACUACUGGGUUGAUAGGCCAGAUGUGGAAGCGUGGUAACACGUGCAGCUGACUGGUACUAAUAAGCCGAUGACUUGAUAACACCCC
rnacentral:rRNA from 1 species